GCUAGGCAUGGUGAUGUAUGCCUGUAGUCCCAGCUACCUGUGAGGCUGAGGCAGGAGGAUUGCUUAAGACCAGGAGUUUAAGGCUGUAGUCCACCAUGAUCAUGCCUGUGAAUAGCCACUGCAUUCCAGCCUGGGCAACAUAGCAAGACCCUGUCUCUU
rnacentral:SRP_RNA from 1 species